AGAAUUUUGAAAAAAUGUACAGGUCAGAAAAUUCGAAAAAUUAGGUUUUUGAAAUGUGGAAGUCUCUUAAACUCAAUGUAAUUCCGUGCAAAAAUGUUCUUUCAUUUUUUAAAUAAGAUUAAAAUUUAUCACUUUGAAAAAUCAAAAUAUGGCUGAAAAUGUAUUCUAAAAUUUCCUCGCAGACGGAAACGGGCUAUGCAGCAAAAUAUGUGCAAAAAUAAAAGUCCGCUUAUUUCCUGGUGUGAGCAAUUUAAAAUUUGUCGGUCAAAAUUUGAGGAAAACUAUUCAUGCCCACGCCUUUUAACUUUAAACUAAAUUCUGAUGGAAUUCGUAGGCGAGAAUCUGUAUUUUUCUCCCUCGCGAGAAACAUUUCACGGUAAGAAUGGAAAUUCGCGCUCACGGAUUCCGUCAUAAUUUCAUUUAAGCUAUGCAUUAUGAAAAAUCUUGAAACACGUGUUCAAUUAUUUGUCUACGGUUGCAUAAUUAUGGUUAUUUCGUCAAAAUCGGAGCGAAACCGCUGGCGUCAUGGGAUUGUUAGUCAGACUGUAGUUUGACGGCUUCAGGCACAAAUGUGUACAAUUGUAUAUUUCUAUUCUUACCGCUUGGUUCAAUCUUAAAAGCGGUUUUCAGCCACGGCAUUGGGUUUUCAAAAUAUUGUAUGUUUUUGAAUUUGUACCAAAAUUCAAUAUAAAAUGCGUGUUUUAAGAUUUAAAUGGAAUUGAAUUUUCGGACCUGCAUUUUCACAAAUUCCAAAUUUUUCAAGCUUUUAAGACGGACAGAAAAAUAAUUAAUCGAAAAGGUUUUGGGAGGCUUUGGGAAGUAAGCGAAAAGUUCGCCGUAUUCGAAUAUUUAUGUAAACUUUGACUUAGGUGUUUAUAGGUAAUUGAAUUUUCUCCGUCCCGCCGAUGUCGUCAAAAAUAUUUCUGAGUUAAAAGUGCUAGUAAAUUGUCACUAAGGUGGAACUGGGGAAAUCGUAAAUAUGCUCUUAAUGCGUAGAAUAUUAUUUCGUUUUAAAAUACUAUUAGUAUUCUUGAGCGAGAACUAUUACGUAGUAUUGGAUAUAUUGAACUUAUGAAAGGGCCCGGCACUAAAGCUCAUACCAGGCCUGAAGAUUUCACGGUACGGCUCUGCCAAGGCAUGAAGCAUUUCUCCCCGAUUUGUCAAGCCGAAAAUCUUGUGCUGUACAAUUAAUUAGGGUAUUAAUCUAUAAAAUCGAGAAGAAAACUGCUUGGGUCAAAGGUCCUCACAUUUCCCUUCGAGGUCAUUAUUGUCGUGUAUGACGACAACCAAGUAAUUGGCCGGCAGAACAUAUUUCGUGGGGAUGGGAAAUUCCUCAAAGUGUGGUUACAGGUAACGAAUUCUAAAGUCUACGCUAGGGGAGAAGAAUUAGUUUGCCGCAAAAGAACUUCCACUAAUUAUAAGUCAGUAUGCAGCUGAUAACGAGGAAUUUACCAACAUUAUGAGAAAGUUCCGACACUUCUCCACUAACGCCUAUGCAUUUGAUUACGACCAAAUGCAUUACAACAGCAGUGAAUGUGAGGUAUUUUGAUCAAGGCUGUCGCCCUAUCAAUCCUAAUUUUGAAGUGAACGUGAAAAGAUGUUGGGUCAGAUUUGCUCACGGUCUAACAAAAUAAUCUCGACCGGAAGUGGUACGUUAAAUUGUUAAGAAAUUUCUACUAGAUAAUACGCGCUAAACAAUAAGUAUGGUCAGUACAUAUUUUAGGAUGGUGUUCGUGACAAACGGCCUUCCCUACACAUUCCCAUUUGACACCAGAAGAGAAACGAGACAAUGCAGGGUUCGCAAGGGUUGUGCUGGUUGGUCUUUCAUUUCUUCCGCUAGAACUGGUGGGUUAUCUCCGGCCAUUCCAAAAUCAUCUCCAGUAUUAAUUUGAAAACGAUAGCAAACGAAGCAAAGACUACGUAUAAAGGGAGACGAUUCACAGCAGCAAAUUCAGGAUCUAUCCAGGGAAUUCUUGAGGCGAGGAAAAUUAUUUGAAAAUGGUGCUUAUUGGAACAAAAUUGUGACUCAAUCUCAAUCUCAAUGGAACCCGUCAAUGUCAGAUUUUUAGUGUUCGUACACAUUUGCGCAGCAAACAAAAGUACUUUCUAGAAGUUUUACGCCGAAGGAAGGAGAUGCUACAUUAUCCCAAUUUCGCCGUUUCCACAACGGAACAAACAUCUAUGAAACCAAAGUUUUUUAAGUAAGCAUUGAGGGUAAAAAUCAAAUCUCUUCAUAUUCCAAUUCAACCUUAUUAUAGCAGAGCUCUAUCCGAGGUAACAAAAACUGAGGAAAUCUAGAGAUUAAUGGAUUAGUAGAGGAAGAGAUUAGGGACAUUGAAAAUGGACAAAUAGAAAUCUCAUGUGAAAUGGAAUUAUAACAACCAAUAACUUAGUUUAAUUCACCGCAAGUUCCUUACCCCGUCUGCUAAUUUCUGCGUGCGUUGCUCAGGAUUAUUUUCAUAAGGCAGUGGCUUGUAGCCUUCAGUACGCCUAAGAUUAUUUUAAAAUAAUGGAAUUACAUUUUUGUUAUAUCAAUUUUCAUAUAUUAAUAAUUAUAAUAAACUAUUAAUUUAAUAACAGAA